AGCUGGAGGGGCCCAUCAUCGUCCCCCACGCAGCACAGAAGAGCCACCUCAGGGUCAGUGGGGCAACUGGGACGGACUGGGAGGGACUGGGGGGCACUGGGAGGGACUGGGGGGGACUGGGAGGAACUGGGAUGCAGUGGGAGGGGAGUAGGAGGGACUGGGAGGGACUGGGAGGGGAGUAGGAGAGAGCGGGAGGGACUGGAGGGGAGUGGGAAGGAAAGGGAGUGGGAGGGACUGGAGGGACUGGGAGAACUGGGAGAAACUGGGAGGCACUGGGAGGGACUAGGAGGGACUGGGAGGGGAGUAGGAGGGACUGGGAGGCACUGGGAUGCACUGGGAGGGGAGUAGGAGGGAGCGGGAGGGACUGGAGGGGAAUGGGAAGGGAAGGGAGUGGGAGGGACUGGGAGUACUGGGAGCGACUGGGAGAGACUGGGAGGGACUGGGAGAAACUGGGAGGGGAGUAGGAGGGACUGGGAGGCACUGGGAGGGACUGGGAGGAGAAUAGGAAGAAGUGGGAGGGACUGGGAGCACUGGGAGAGACUGGGAAUGACUGGGAGUGACUGGAGGGACUGGGAGCACUGGGAGUGAACUGGGAGCACUGGGAGGGACUGGGAGUGAACUGGGAGUGAACUGGGAGUGAACUGGGAGCACUGGGAGUGAACUGGGAGUGAACUGGGAGCACUGGGAGUGAACUGGGAGGGCGCUGUGAGGAACUGGGGUGCACUGGGAGUGAACUGGGAGCACUGGGAGGGACUGGGGGCGCUGUGAGGAACUGGGACCACUGGGAGCACUGGGAGGGACUGGGGGCACUGGGAGUAACUGGGAGUGAACUGGGACAGGGCUGCGAGGAACUGGCGUGAACUGGGAUGAACUGGGUGGGACUGGGAAGAGAUAAGAAAGGGCCAAAAGGGCACUGGGAGGGACUGGGAGGAACUGGGAGGGACUGGGAGUCAUGUGAGGGCACUGGGAGGGACUGGGAGUCACUGGGAUGAACUGGGUGGGACUGGGAAGAGAUAAGAAAGGGCCAAGAGGGCACUGGGAGGGACUGGGAGGGCACUGGGAGCAACUGGGAGGGACUGGGUGGGACUGGGGGAGAUAAGAAAGGGCCAAGAGGGCACUGGGAGGGACUGGGAGUCACUGGGAGGGACUGGGAGUCACUGGGAGGGACUGGGAGCUACUGGGAAAGCACUGGGACAACAGCAUGUGUUUGCUGGUCUGUACUGGGAGUCACUGGUUCAUACUGGGAGUCACUGGUUUGUACUGAGAUUCUUUGCUCUGUACUGGGAGUCACUGGUUCAUACUGGGAGUCACUGGUUUGUACUGGGAGUCACUGGUUCAUACUGGGAGUCACUGGUCCAUACUGGGAGUCACUGGUUUGUACUGGGAGCCACUGGUUUGUACUGGGAUUCUUUGCUCUGUACGGGGAGUCACUGGUCCCUACUGGGAGUCACUGGUCCAUACUGGGAAUAACUGGUCUGUACUGGGAGUCACUGGUCCCUACUGGUAGUCACUGGUUCAUACUGGGACUCUCUGCUCCAUACUGGGAGUCGCUGGUUCAUACUGGGAGUCACUGGUUCAUACUGGGAGUCACUGGUUCAUACUGGGACUCUCUACUCCAUACUGGGAGUCGCUGGUUCAUACUGGGAGUCACUGGUUCAUACUGGGAGUCACUGGUUCAUACUGGGGGUCACUGCUCCACACUGGGAGUCACUGGUCUGUACUGGGAGUCACUGGUUUGUACUGGGAUUCUUUGCUCUGUACUGGGAGUCACUGGUCCCUACUGGCAGUCACUGGUUCAUACUGGGACUGUCUGCUCCAUACUGGGACUCUCUGCUCCAUACUGGGAGUCACUGCUCCAUACUGGGAGUCACUGGGCCCUCCUGGGAGCUCCCAGUCCCUCCCAUUCCCUCCCAGUCCUUACUGGUCCAUCCUGGUU
rnacentral:lncRNA from 1 species